rnacentral:rRNA from 1 species
UGGAUCCAGACUUUGAUCAUGGCUCAGGAUGAACGCUGGCGGCGUGCCUAAUACAUGCAAGUCGAACGAAACUUCUUUAUCACCGAGUGCUUGCACUCACCGAUAAAGAGUUGAGUGGCGAACGGGUGAGUAACACGUGGGCAACCUGCCCAAAAGAGGGGGAUAACACUUGGAAACAGGUGCUAAUACCGCAUAACCAUAGUUACCGCAUGGUAACUAUGUAAAAGGUGGCUAUGCUACCGCUUUUGGAUGGGCCCGCGGCGCAUUAGCUAGUUGGUGGGGUAAAGGCCUACCAAGGCAAUGAUGCGUAGCCGAACUGAGAGGUUGAUCGGCCACAUUGGGACUGAGACACGGCCCAAACUCCUACGGGAGGCAGCAGUAGGGAAUCUUCCACAAUGGGCGAAAGCCUGAUGGAGCAACGCCGCGUGGGUGAAGAAGGUCUUCGGAUCGUAAAACCCUGUUGUUAGAGAAGAAAGUGCGUGAGAGUAACUGUUCACGUUUCGACGGUAUCUAACCAGAAAGCCACGGCUAACUACGUGCCAGCAGCCGCGGUAAUACGUAGGUGGCAAGCGUUAUCCGGAUUUAUUGGGCGUAAAGGGAACGCAGGCGGUCUUUUAAGUCUGAUGUGAAAGCCUUCGGCUUAACCGGAGUAGUGCAUUGGAAACUGGGAGACUUGAGUGCAGAAGAGGAGAGUGGAACUCCAUGUGUAGCGGUGAAAUGCGUAGAUAUAUGGAAGAACACCAGUGGCGAAAGCGGCUCUCUGGUCUGUAACUGACGCUGAGGUUCGAAAGCGUGGGUAGCAAACAGGAUUAGAUACCCUGGUAGUCCACGCCGUAAACGAUGAAUGCUAAGUGUUGGAGGGUUUCCGCCCUUCAGUGCUGCAGCUAACGCAAUAAGCAUUCCGCCUGGGGAGUACGACCGCAAGGUUGCAACUCAAAUGAAUUGACGGA